rnacentral:ncRNA from 1 species
GAUCGCUAGUUGGCAUCGUUUAUGGUCGGAACUAUGAUGGAACUACGACAGUAUCAAUCCUCCGACUUUCGUCGUUUAUUUUCCUCCGAUUUUUUUUAGAGAGUUUGAAGCAGGCCGCGUCGCCUGGAUACUUCAGCUAGGAAUAAUGGAAUAGGACUCCAGUUCUAUUUUGAUGGUUUUCGGAACUGGGGCCAUAAUUAAGAGGGACGGCCGGGGGCAUUCGUAUUUUGCUGCUAGAGGUGAAAUUCUUGGUCUGGCACAAGACGAACCAGAGCGAAAGUAUUUGCCGAGAAUGUUUUCAUUAAUCAAGAAUGAAAGGCGGAGGUCCGAAGACGAUCAGAUACCUUCAUAGUUCCGACCAUAAACGAUGCCGACUAAUAAUCCGGCGGCGUUAUUCCCAUAAGCCGAGUUUUUAUUAAAGAUGCCAGACUCAAAAUGGAUGCUGGUAUCAAAGUUGACGCUGGCGCCCAUUAAAGUCAAUGGGC